rnacentral:tRNA from 1 species
GCAAAUUCUAGCUCAGUUGGUAGAGCAGGAGACUCUUAAUCUCAUGGUGGUGGGUUUGAGCCCCACGUUGGCC